rnacentral:rRNA from 1 species
AUUGAACGCUGGCGGCAGGCUUAACACAUGCAAGUCGAACGAGUGGCGGACGGGUGAGUAAUGCUUGGGAAUCUGGCUUAUGGAGGGGGAUAACUACGGGAAACUGUAGCUAAUACCGCAUACCCUCGGAUGAGCCCAAGUGGGAUUAGGUAGUUGGUGAGGUAAAGGCUCACCAAGCCGACGAUCCCUAACUGGUAUGAGAGGAUGACCAGCCACACUGGAACUGAGACACGGCCCAGACUCCUACGGGAGGCAGCAGUGGGGAAUAUUGCACAAUGGGGGAAACCUGAUGCAGCCAUGCCGCGUGAGUGAAGAAGGUCUUCGGGUUGUAAAGCUCUUUAGGUAGGGAGGCGUUAACAACAGAAGAAGCACCGGCUAACUUCGUGCCAGCAGCCGCGGUAAUUC